rnacentral:rRNA from 1 species
UACGUAGGGGGCAAGCGUUGUCCGGAAUCAUUGGGCGUAAAGAGCGUGUAGGCGGUCCGAUAAGUCCGCUCUGAAAGCCCGGGGCUCAACCCCGGGAGGCGGGCGGAUACUGUCGGGCUAGAGUCCGGAAGAAGCAAGUGGAAUUCCUGGUGUAGCGGUGAAAUGCGCAGAUAUCAGGAGGAACACCGAUGGCGAAGGCAGCCCCCUGGGUUAACACUGACGCUCAUGCACGAAAGCGUGGGGAGCAAACAGG